rnacentral:rRNA from 1 species
UACAGAGGUCUCAAGCGUUGUUCGGAUUCAUUGGGCGUAAAGAGCGUGUAGGCGGCCAGAAAAGUCCGCUGUGAAAACUCGAGGCUCAACUUCGAGCUGUCGGUGGAAACUUUCUGGCUAGAGUCCGGAAGAGGAGAAUGGAAUUCCUGGUGUAGCGGUGAAAUGCGCAGAUAUCAGGAAGAACACCCGUGGCGAAGGCGGUUCUCUGGGACGGUACUGACGCUGAGACGCGAAAGCGUGGGGAGCGAACAGG